UGACAUCACAGGACAUCCGGGCC
rnacentral:miRNA from 1 species